rnacentral:tRNA from 1 species
UCCCUGGUGGUCCAGUGAUCAUGACUCUGCACUUCCAAUGCAGGGAGUGUGGGUUAGAUCCCCAACCUGGGAA